AUCCUGGCUCAGAUUGAACGCUGGCGGCAUGCCUUACACAUGCAAGUCGAACGGCAGCACGGACUUCGGUCUGGUGGCGAGUGGCGAACGGGUGAGUAAUGCAUCGGAACGUGCCAUUGAGUGGGGGAUAACGUAGCGAAAGUUGCGCUAAUACCGCAUAUUCUGUGAGCAGGAAAGCAGGGGACCGCAAGGCCUUGCGCUCUUUGAGCGGCCGAUGUCAGAUUAGCUAGUUGGUGAGGUAAAGGCUUACCAAGGCGACGAUCUGUAGCGGGUCUGAGAGGAUGAUCCGCCACACUGGAACUGAGACACGGUCCAGACUCCUACGGGAGGCAGCAGUGGGGAAUUUUGGACAAUGGGGGCAACCCUGAUCCAGCCAUGCCGCGUGAGUGAAGAAGGCCUUCGGGUUGUAAAGCUCUUUCGGCCGGGAAGAAAUCGCAUGGGCCAAUACCCUGUGUGGAUGACGGUACCGGAAUAAGAAGCACCGGCUAACUACGUG
rnacentral:rRNA from 1 species